GGGCGGCUAGCUCAGCUGGCCAGAGCACUCGCCUUACAAGCGAGAGGUCAGAGGUUCAAAUCCUCUGCCGCCCA
rnacentral:tRNA from 1 species